GUGAACAAAACUGUAGUGAUUCUCAGUGCUUGGCAACAUUCAGAACAAGACUAUAUAACAUGGAUUUAAAAUUAACAUUUGUCACUUUCGCUCUCGUGUUAUUUUGCACUGUCACCAUUGCGUACGAGAAGGAGAAAUGUGAUGCUCCUCCAACCAAACGCGGCGUUUGUACGGCCCGUUUUCGCAGGUGGGUCUUUAAGAACCAGCAAUGUGAAAAGAUUAUUUUCGGUGGAUGCUUUCCAACAGAAAACUAUUUUCGUAGUAUUUAUGACUGCGAGGCAGCAUGCAUUGAUUAAAACAUAUUCCGUAUGAAGAAAAUAAUAAAAUCCAUUUAUAUUUAGGAAAAUCAAAACCUAAAAAUAAAUAAUAAUAAUAAAGUGA